AUUAGUGCAAUUUGGGGACUUGUAAUUAUUGACUUUCCAUUAAGCAUCUACUUGGAAUAUCCUGUUAUUAAGUAAUUAAUCACACUCUAGAACCAUGUAAUCAUGGAAGAAUCUAAGUGGAAGCUUUUGUGAACAAAAUCCCUAGACUUGCUCCAGGCCCUUGCUCUUUCCCAUUGCAGUGAGCAAGGAUUUUGGUUUUGGAAGAGGCUGGGAUAGGAAAUCAGCAAACACUUCCGUGGCUCAGCAUGCAUAGCUGGGCCCUCUCAUCCCCCCGAAAUGGGCAUGGUCCCUGGGAGCAGGGAGCUGGACCUUCUCUAGGUGCUCUUGUACAAGAGGUCCAAGAGCCUGCUUGAACAUAGAUGUGAUGAUUUUCCCCAGCGGUAGUCCCCCCAGGAGCAGGGAGCUGGACCUUCUCUCAUGUCCAAGAGAUGCAUAAGAGCCUACUUGAACAUAGAUGUGAUGACUUUCCCCAGGGGUAGUCCCCCCACAAGCAGGGAGUGGGACCUUCUCUAGGUGCUCUUGUACAAGAGGUGCACAAGAGCCUGCUUGAGCACAGAUGUGAUGACUUUCCCCAGGGGUAGUCCCCUCAGGAGCAGGGAGCUGAACCUUCUCUAGG